CCUACGGGAGGCAGCAGUGGGGAAUAUUGCGCAAUGGGCGAAAGCCUGACGCAGCGACGCCGCGUGCGGGAUGACGGUCUUCGGAUCGUAAACCUCUGUCAGCAGGGAAGAACGGUCACUGUGCUAAUCAGCAGUGAAUUGACGGUACCUGCAAAGGAAGCACCGGCUAACUCCGUGCCAGCAGCCGCGGUAAUACGGAGGGUGCGAGCGUUAAUCGGAAUUACUGGGCGUAAAGCGCUCGUAGGCGGUAUGUCAAGUCAAGGGUGAAAUCCCCGCGCUCAACGUGGGAACUGCCUUUGAAACUGGCAAACUGGAGUGUGUGAGAGGAUAGUGGAAUGCCAGGUGUAGGAGUGAAAUGCGUAGAUAUCUGGAGGAACAUCAGUAGCGAAGGCGACUAUCUGGCACAUAACUGACGCUGAGGAGCGAAAGCGUGGGUAGCAAACAGGAUUAGAUACCCCAGUAGUC
rnacentral:rRNA from 1 species